rnacentral:rRNA from 1 species
UACGUAGGUGGCGAGCGUUGUCCGGAUUUACUGGGCGUAAGGGGAGCGUAAGCGGACUUUUAAGUGAGAUGUGAAAUACCCGGGCUCAACUUGGGUGCUGCAUUUCAAACUGGAAGUCUAGAGUGCAGGAGAGGAGAAUGGAAUUCCUAGUGUAGCGGUGAAAUGCGUAGAGAUUAGGAAGAACACCAGUGGCGAAGGCGAUUCUCUGGACUGUAACUGACGCUGAGGCUCGAAAGCGUUGGGAGCAAACAGGAUUAGAUACCCU